ensembl:snoRNA
AGCCUUUGUGUUGCCCAUUCACUUUUGCAAAUUAGUGACUGUGGUGUCAAAAAAGGCAUAAACCAAACACUUUUGCAGUCUUUUCCUGCCCUUGUAUUUGAAAUCUUUGGAGUAGGAGCUGCAUAAGUAAUAGCU